AUGCACAAAACAAGGUGGUCGCAAAAAAAAACACCACUAUUUGAAGGAGAACCACAUAAAAGAGAGCCGUCUCUCUUGCAUAGUACACACUAUAAAUUGAACACCCAGCUUCAAUUCAUUUUUUCAUCAAAGUUUUGUGCUAGUUCUUCAGGGGGGCGGAGGGGAGUUACCAAUUCUGGUCUUGCAAGUCUUCAAACUAUAAGAAAAAUUAUCUCAAAACCUGGUUUGGUUGGUAAUCAUCUAAAUGGAUUUUGGCAUAUAUCCGAUAGAAGCUCAACAAUUUUCAGAACAAAGAUGGUUGAUGAUUUUCAGCAUUCAAUUAUAAUCAUAUGGUGGUCGGAGCACUUUUUAUUUCCUAUAGUUGUCUUUUAUUUCCAGGAUAUUUAUUUCACAAACUUGCAUGGUCUAAACAAUGAUGCGAUCAGAGGGAUUGUUGACAAAUAA
rnacentral:rRNA from 1 species